rnacentral:lncRNA from 1 species
CUGUUCCAUUUUAGCCAUAGUGUCAAUGUUUCUGUGUUUAUGUUUAUCUGUUUGUCCUUUUCAUUUUUAGCCUUGGCGUUGUCAGUUUAUUUUCGAUUUAUGAGUUUGACUGUCUCUCUGGUAUCUUUCGUCCCUCUUUUCUUGACGUACAAGGAAAUUAAAUACAAAAUUUAUACUAGAUUCAUUUAUGAAGAUUUUUAAAGUUAAAAAAAAAACAUAAACAACUUGUGUAAAAUUGUCCUUAAAGGGCAAUAACUUAUAAAGGGGUCAAUUGACAAUUUUG